rnacentral:pre_miRNA from 1 species
GAAAAAGGAAAAACAUGGAUAAGAUGGUGUCAUCCCACCAAACAAGUGAGAGUGUGUCAAUAUAGGUCUAUACUUUCAAUUGUUUGAUGAGGUGAAAUCAUUCUAAUUGCG